GUAGGUGGCAAGCGUUGUCCGGAAUUAUUGGGCGUAAAGCGCGCGCAGGGCGGUCCUUUAAGUCUGAUGUGAAAAGCCCACGGCUCAACCGUGGAGGGUCAUUGGAAACUGGGGGACUUGAGUACAGAAGAGGAAAGCGGAAUUCCAAGUGUAGCGGUGAAAUGCGUAGAGAUUUGGAGGAACACCAGUGGCGAAGGCGGCUUUCUGGUCUGUAACUGACGCUGAGGCGCGAAAGCGUGGGGAGCAAACAGGAUUAGAUACCCUGGUAGUCCACGCCGUAAACGAUGAGUGCUAAGUGUUAGGGGGUUUCCGCCCCUUAGUGCUGCAGCUAACGCAUUAAGCACUCCGCCUGGGGAGUACGGCCGCAAGGCUG
rnacentral:rRNA from 1 species